UCGGGAAUCUUGCACAAUGGGCGAAAGCCUGAUGCAGCAACACCGUGUGAGCGAGGAAGGUCUUCGGAUCGUAAAGCUCUGUUGUUGGGGACGAAGGGCGAAGGGGUAAUAGCCCAUAGCCUGACGGUACCCUUCGAGGAAGCCCCGGCUAAGUACGUGCCAGCUGCCGCGGUAAUACGAAGGGGGCGAGCGUUGUACGGAAUUAUUGGGCGUAAAGAGCGUGUAGGCGGCCUGGUAAGUCUGCCGUGAAAACCAGGGGCUCAACCCUGGGCGUGCGGUGGAUACUGCUAGGCUAGAGGAUGGUAGAGGCGAGUGGAAUUCCCGGUGUAGCGGUGAAAUGCGCAGAUAUCGGGAGGAACACCAGUAGCGAAGGCGGCUCGCUGGGCCAUACCUGACGCUGAGACGCGAAAGCUAGGGGAGCAAACAGGAUUAGAUACCCCGGUAGUCC
rnacentral:rRNA from 1 species